rnacentral:tRNA from 1 species
CCUUCCAUAGCUCAGUUGGUAGAGCGGGGGACUGUAGAUCCCUAGGUCACUGGUUCAAAUCCGGUUCGAAGGA